rnacentral:lncRNA from 1 species
AAACAAUAAAAUAAAGUUUAAAUUUUGUGAUAAAGGAAAAAAAAGAGUUAAUUUCAUACAGGUCACUAUAAAUAUAGUAAAUUGUAAAUAUAUCCCCACAAAGUUGAACUUUUAUAUAUUGUUUCUACAAAAGUCAUGAUGUUUUCAAAUAUGUUUAUGUCGUUACGUUCCGUUAGAAAAAAAAAUUAAUUAAUCAUAAAUAAAAUACUUAAUCCUAGUUAGUUGAUGAAGUGAAUUGACCAUUUUACCCAUCUUUAAUUAAUUGUUCAAACUUUUGGAGGAACAUGCUUGUGAUGACAAAAAGAUCAUUUCACUUAUAAAAUAAACAGCAUUUUAACGAUAACAAGUCAGAGGAAUAUAUUUGAAAAUAUUAGGACUUAUGCAAGAGCAAUAUAUAAAAGUUGAAUUCUAUAGAAAUGUAUUUGUAAUUUAUUAUGUUUGUAUGGACCUGAAAAUAAUCCAAAAAAUUAAUAAUGAAUA